rnacentral:rRNA from 1 species
AUUGAACGCUGGCGGCGGGCCUAACACAUGCAAGUCGAACGAGCGGCGGACGGGUGAGUAAUGUCUGGGUAACUUCCUGAUUUAUGUGGAUAACUACUGGAAACGGUAGCUAAUACCUCAUACCAUCAGAUGUGCCCAGAUGGGAUUAGCUAGUAUGUGGGGUAACGGCUCACCUAGGCGACGAUCCCUAGCUGGUCUGAGAGGAUGACAAGCCAAACGGGAACUGAGACACGGUGCAGAAGCCUACGGGAGGCAGCGGUGGGGAAUAUUGCACAAUGGGCGAAAGCCUGAUGCAGUCAUGCCGCGUGUAUGAAGAAGGCCUGCGGGUUGUAAAGUACUUACAGCGGGGAGGCGGUACCCGCAGAAGAAGCACCGGCUAACUACGUGCCAGCCGCCGCGGUAAUAC